GUGGCUUCCUUUCUUGGUGGACAAAGAUUAAAAAGCUUUGCUCAGCGCCCUGCCAAUGGCACCAAAGGUGGUAUCCUCCUGCUUUGGAAUGCUGAUUCCAUCAAAGUUGAAUGCAUCUCCUUUGGAACCUUAUUUAUCUCUGCUAUGAUCACCCUAGUCAAUAGUACCACCUCCUUCAAACUCACCUCUAUUUAUGGGCCUACAAGAAGCAAUCUUAAAGACGCUUUAUUCUAGGAGCUUCUGAGCCAAAAGCCUCAGCAAGGUACGAGAUGGCUCAUGACUGGAGAUUUCAACCAAGUCUAUCGUGCCCGUGACAAGAACCGCACAAAUGUUGAUCGCAACCGAUUGGUGCGCUUCUGAAACACCCUCAAUUCAUGUGAGCUAAAGGAGAUACACCUUUAGAACAGAAGGUUCACGUGGACGAAUGAGCAGGCAAAUCCGACAAUGAGCAAAUUGGAUAGUUUUUUCUGCAAUCAAGACUGGGAUGUGGAAUUUGGCUCGCACAUCCUUCAUGCGCUUUCGUCCUCACUCUCUGACCAUUGCCAACUUCUUCUCGCUAGUGACAAGGGACCAAUGAGACCCAAAACAUUCAGAUUUGAAAAUUUCUUGAUCAAAAUGCCCAACUUCAAGAAGAUAGUGCAAGAUGCUUCAAAUGAAAGGGUGAACCAUACCGAGCCCUAUCAUGUGUUGUUCCACAAACUUAAAAACACAAGUCAGCGCCUUCGGACAUGGAGCCGAUGUAUCUUCUCUAAUCACAAAGUUCAAAUCCAUAUGGCCCUUGAGAUCAUCCUUCGGCUGGACAUGGCACAACAGGAGAGGCCCCUUAGCUCUGGUGAGCGUGACCUU
rnacentral:rRNA from 1 species